UACGUAGGGUGCAAGCGUGUCCGGAAUUAUUGGGCGUAAAGAGCUCGUAGCGGUUUGUCGCGUCUGCUGUGAAAACUCGGGGCUUAACCCCGGGCCUGCAGUGGGUACGGGCAGACGUAGAGUGUGGUAGGGGAGACUGGAAUUCCUGGUGUAGCGGUGAAAAUGCGCAGAUAUCAGGAGGAACACCGAUGGCGAAGGCAGGUCUCUGGGCCACUACUGACG
rnacentral:rRNA from 1 species